rnacentral:tRNA from 1 species
UGGGGAUGUAGUUCAGUGGUAGAGUGCUUACCUAAUGGGGCCAAGGCCCUGGGUUCAAUUCCCAGCACCUAA